rfam:Myotis brandtii contig294541, whole genome shotgun sequence.
AUUGGAGGAGGGGGGUCCCUCAGCCCAGAUGUGAGAGGGCGCAGGCCAGGUGAGGGACCCCACUGGUGCAUG